rnacentral:rRNA from 1 species
UACAGAGGGUACGAGCGUUGUUCGGAAUUAUUGGGCGUAAAGGGCGCGUAGGCGGUGCGGUAAGUCACCUGUGAAAUCUCCUGGCUCAACUGGGAGCUUGCAGGCGAAACUGCCGUGCUGGAGUGUGGGAGAGGUGCGUGGAAUUCCUGGUGUAGCGGUGAAAUGCGUAGAUAUCAGGAGGAACACCUGUGGUGUAGACAGCUUACUGGACCACUUCUGACGCUGAGACACGAAAGCGUGGGUAGCAAACAGG